rnacentral:tRNA from 1 species
GACAGCUUGGCCGAGUGGUUAAGGCGAAAGACUAGAAAUCUAUUGGGGUAACCCGCGUGAGUUCAAAUCUCACAGCUGUCG